CACGUAGGGUGCGAGCGUUGUCCGGAAUUAUUGGGCGUAAAGAGCUCGUAGGCGGUGUGUCGCGUCGGCCGUGAAAACCUGCAGCUUAACUGUGGGCUUGCGGUCGAUACGGGCAUCACUGGAGUUCGGCAGGGGAGACUGGAAUUCCUGGUGUAGCGGUGAAAUGCGCAGAUAUCAGGAGGAACACCCGUGGCGAAAGCGGCUCUCUGGGACGGUACUGACGCUGAGACGCGAAAGCGUGGGGAGCAAACAGG
rnacentral:rRNA from 1 species